UACGGGGGGGGGCAAGCGUUGUUCGGAAUUACUGGGCGUAAAGGGCUCGUAGGCGGCCAACUAAGUCCGACGUGAAAUCCCCAGGCUUAACCUGGGAACUGCGUCGGAUACUGGAUGGCUUGAAUCCGGGAGAGGGAUGCGGAAUUCCAGGUGUAGCGGUGAAAUACGUAGAGAUUGGGAAGAACACCAGUGGCGAAGGCGGCUAUCUGGACGGUUUCUGACGCUAAGACGCGAAAGCGUGGGGAGCAAACAGG
rnacentral:rRNA from 1 species